CCUCACGCACCACACAUUGCUUUCUGUCUGUGGGAAACACGUGGGGGAUAAUUGCCGCCGAGGUGUCCAUCAUCGGGAAUUAAUGGACGCCUCCGCGUCGGUUAUCACUCUUGGAUUGGCAGGGGGAGCUGAUGCCAACGAUACAGUGUGGCGCAUUCUGAAACAGGCCAUCAAAAAUGACCUUGCCAAGAAAAUCUCAUGGCGGGGGAUGAAUGGAAAGAUUUCAUUUGAAAAUCUACACCUGAAGGCAGUAGUGAUGGAUGCAGUGAGGCGCAAUCCAUCCUGCUCAACUGCAACGGAUGUGCAGAUUGCGGAUGCCAUUAAGCGAUGGUUUUACUGGGCUGGGGAUAGGGAGGGAGGGAGGAAAAAACGCCAGCCGGCUCCAAACCAGAAGCAAACUGGUUUGGAUUAAAUCAAAUAAA